rnacentral:rRNA from 1 species
GUCUAUGGCCACACCACCCUGAACACGCCCGAUCUCACCUGAUCUUGGAAGCUAAGCAGGGUUGGGCCUGGUUAGUACCUGAAUGGGAGACAUUUACCUCUCUUAACAAGUGAGAAGAUCCUCGCCAGGACU